rnacentral:lncRNA from 1 species
CUGGAUUCCCACACAUACUGCGGCCUUGGCAUGUUGCACACAUUGCAUGAGUCUGUGAAAAUAACUUCUACUGGGAAUAUGUGCCAUAAAUAAAGACUGCUCAGAAAGUUAACAAGAAUGAAGGAAUGAGGGAGGAAGAAGAGAGGAGUCUGGGAGAGGACUGACGGCCCUUGAAGGCCAUUGCAGUGGCAGCGCUAGAUGGGUGGUCAGACACAGCGGAAGGCCGAGGACGGAGGAAGCCAUCUGCAGGACACUAGACCCCACAAGAAUAAGCCAAGACCAUGAACAGGGUAAGUAGAAGUGAGGGGAAAAUGGCCAAUUGUUUUUGAGUCGUGUGCACAACUGGAGAAUUGGGAGCUUUUGGCCAAAGCAGCCAGGCCUAUUGUCUUUAUAUGCAAAACCAUCCUGUCAUUCUUUUGUUGCUCUGGGAACUUCAUAGAGAAUCAGUGCCUCAUUUAUCCAGGGAGACUUCCAUUCAUCUGCUAAUCCCCUAAGAACAAAGCUGCAUUCCAGAAUUGAAGAGUUUAAUGGACAUUUUCCAUUGACCUUCUUACUCUGAUUUUGUUGGCAUUCUUAAGUUCUGUUUAUAGUAAAAUGUGUUUCCUUGGGUAGUAAAAUGGACUUUUUCCCUAGUAAAUGUCUGUGCCUGUGUAGAAAAAUGUGGAAGAAACUUUAUUAUUCAUUGUUACGAGUAGUUUCAUAAAGUUAAUCAUUAUUUAAAUUUAGUAGAGAUAGGAAAAGUCAAAAGAACAUCUGUUUGUGACAUUUUCAGGAGAUGAGUUCUUGCCAUGAGUAAAAGGGAGUGGAUUAUACUGUUCUUUAAAAAUGUGUAACACAUUUUGUAUGAAGAAGAUAAUCAAAACCAGAUAUCAUUUAUCUCAUAGGUGGAUGGAAAAGAGACCAAGAAAAAAAAAUAAGUGGCUUGGUGACCUAACUUUACCCAGAGAAUGGAAAAUAAAAUGCAAGACUCCAAACCCUGCCCUUCUAUUUCAUCCUCAUUUUGGAAAAAUACAGGAAAAGGUGGGCUUUUUUGCCUUCCUACCAUGGACGAGGAUCUUGAAGGAGAAACUUGGCAGACCUUUUCCAUUCCCUGGGGCUUCGGCCAGGCAGUAGAGGAUGAAGGAGGACAUACAUGCCAGUGAGUAACAGUCCUCAAGUACAAAUAGCAGGGGUCCUGUCAUUGCUUCCUGAGAUUAGCUCCUGGUUUUCAGUAGGAUGGAUUUAUUUGGACAAGGGUUGAAAACCAUGUCUCAGAAUUACACAAAAAUGAUGCCUUUGAUAGAAAAGCGAUGAGAUCCUUCUGAGUUUUGUCUCAGUAACUGUAAUUUUUACAAAAAGAAUAUUUGGAGGUGAGGCAGGAAUAUCCUGCAAAAGAAAAGCAUAACGUCAUACACUACUCUGGCUGUUUAUUUCCUCACAACUACAUGUCCAGAGGCACGCUUUUGGGAAGAGAGAAACUGAUUUUAGCUGCUCAUCCUUAUAUGUGGUAUUCUAAUCGGCUAUCACUCACAGUAAACUUUUGACUGCACUUGUGCACUUUUUGCAAAAGAAAUUGGGUUGUGCUGUGUUUAUUUUCUUUUGAAAGUGGUGUCUUCUCAAUGACAAAUGUAUCUAUCAAGAUGAAAACUUUUCAUUGUUAAGCAGAAAAUGCUAUGUUGGCUAUACAAAUUAGUUCGUAUUUAAUUGCUUGUCUUCAGUGGUCUUGAUAAAUAAGUGUUUCUCCCUUGGAAACCUAUUUUACACAAAGUGCAGAUCCUUGAUGAGUGGCUGAUGG